CACAAAGAGUUAGUCUUUGUUAAGGAACCAACAGAGGAUAUUUCUGCACAGAAAGAUGAGGUGUCUGUAGGAGGAGAACAUAGUCCUGCUUCCACGAGGAGUAGGUGGAAAUUGCAAAAAGAGAACUUGUGAUCAUUUGCUUCAAAUGAGAAGACCAACGUGCAGAACGCCCAGAAGGAUGGAGCAGGAAGGAAAGGCGAGGUGGUAGGAAACCUGAGCACGUUUACAUAAAUGUUCAGCUCCUUCUGGGCUUGCCUAAUCCCCGUCCUUUGGAGUUUGCCUUUUACGAGGGUAAACAUGGUUUAAUAGUGAGCAAAUAUUCGUUCACAUAAUUAAAACCUGUUGUGUUGAACAGGAAACAUCCAAGGGAAAUCUGCAGGUGCCUGCAAGCAAGGGUGACUCUGGAAGGAUCUUGGUAUGUCGGUGCCUUCUCUCCCAAGGGAAAACCCUUGGAUGUUUGAAUUAAGUGCCACAUCUGGAAAUGCAGAAAGAUCAUUGCUUCUAUUGAGUGCUUACUGUGUCCUUGGUACGAAGAACAGUAUUUUGCCUACAUUCUCUCUCAAUUUCAUCAACUCUGUGAGGUGAUAUACGGAGGAGCAGAUGUGUUGCCUCUAGCAAGGCAAUAAUUCACUUCAUUAUUAUUGUUUGAUUUGCCUUGUGUGUGCUGUUCAUUGCUAACUGAGGCCUGCAAUGCUGUCCGUGGGAUCUGAAAUGUACAAGAACGGGUCAGAAGGCCUUGGGAGAACUGAAAAAGAAGUCAUUGCCCUGGCCUCAGUCACCUGUCCCCAGACAAAAUCACACCCUGUCACCCAUGAAGAUUUGCAGACCAGCCCCCACUCAGCUGCUGUUUUGACCAUAGCCCUUGCUGCCCUAGGCUCUUACCCAUGGGACCGAGAACGUUAAUGUCAGAAAGAAGUUAGAAACUGAUACUGAAGAGCAGACCUGUGUCGGAAAGAACACAGUUCAAGGGAGACUGGUGAAUGAAGAAGGGAAGAUCAAUGUGAUGGCUGGAGCUCUAGCUGCCACAUUGGACCGUGAAGUGAAUUCAAGAUGGAAGCCAUAUGCUAAGUAUGGCAGAACUAAAAGACAGAGGAAACCUGGAACUUUGAUGACACUGUAGCUCCCAUACCAGCCAGAAUCCAGCCUUAUUUUGUAUGAGAGAGAAAUAAGCUUCUAUCUUAUUGAAACCACUGUUAUUUCCUCCUUCACCUGGGACAUCACAAGCCUAGGGAAUCUUUGGAAGGCUUUGACCAGAGAGUGAAAAAUUAGGGAUUUCAUUUGUUUGUCUUUUGGUGAUUCUGAAGAGCAGUCUCCGUUAGGAACCCUGGAGCAGAUGCUAUCUAAGAUGCCUCGCGGGGCUCCAGUGUUUUCUGACUCCAAAGCCCCCUGAAGCAUAUUCUGUGCAGUUCCACGCAGUGCAGCCCAGAGGAGACGGCGGCCCUCACCGUGAAGCCCCGUGAGAGAGUCGGCGUGUACCCUGGGGAGCAGGCAGCACGGCAGAGCGUGUGACUUGCGUGGCGUUGGGGAGAGGGCACCGGGGCCGUGCCUGUUUCUUAGCUGGUUCUGCUUUGGAGCCAGUGAAUUGGCCUCACCUGGGGCCAGCGGGACCUUGGCCCAGACAGUGACUGUCCACCGCCUUGUUCCCGACGGCCCAGUCCUUCUUGCCAUCGUGCAGUGGUGUGGAACACCCAGCACGCCUGCCCCAAGUCCGAGGAGCACGUCAGGAAUCCCACAAGUUGCGUCCUCGAGGCCGGCACCCUUCGCAUGAGAUUCUGAAUGCAGUCAUGUGUCUCCAGCUGUCCCAGAGUCACAAAAAGUCCCCGUUCUGAUGAGGAGCUGUGGAAUGCUAAGGCUAAAGCUGCCUUGAGCUCCUCUUUCACAAGUUUCAAUCAUGGGUUAAUGCUGACAUUCUUUGGCUUUAGUAAAUGGGGAGGAGCCUUUUGUGUUUGUGUGAGGGCAGAGGCAGGAAUAAAUCGUGGCUCUCGGGGCUGACUUU